UUUAACAAAAACAUGUCCUUUUGGGUUUAAUUUAAGGUCGGGCCUGCCCACUGAUGAAUUUAAGGGCCGCGGUAUUUUGACCGUGCAAAGGUAGCAUAAUCAUUAGUCUUUUAAUUGAGGGCUGGAAUGAAUGGUUUGACGAAAUAUUAACUGUCUCUUUAUAAUAAGUAGAAUUUAACUUUUGAGUCAAAAGGCUUAGAUAAUUGUAAAAGACGAGAAGACCCUAUAGAUCUUUAUAUAUAAAUAUAUUUAUUUUGUUUAGAUUAGGUUUUAAUAAUUAUAUGAUUGUAUUUUGUUGGGGAGACGUGAAGAUAAAAAUAACUCUUCAUUAUUAAUACAUUGAUUUAUGAAUAAUUGAUCCGUUAUUGGCGAUUACAAGAAAAAGUUACCUUAGGGAUAACAGCGUAAUUUUUUUUGAGAGUUCUUAUCGACAAGAAAGAUUGCGACCUCGA
rnacentral:rRNA from 1 species